rnacentral:tRNA from 1 species
GGGCCCGUAGCCUAGUCUGGACUAGGGCGCAGGCCUUCGGAGCCUGAGGUCGGGGGUUCAAAUCCCCCCGGGCCCG